rnacentral:tRNA from 1 species
GUUACGGUGGUCUAGCGGUGAGAACGCUGGCCUUGUAAUCCUGGGGUCUCGGGUUCGAUUCCCGGCGGUGCCC